rnacentral:rRNA from 1 species
CCUACGGGGGGCAGCAGUGAGGAAUAUUGGUCAAUGGCCGUAAGGCUGAACCAGCCAAGUAGCGUGAGGGAAGACUGCCCUAUGGGUUGUAAACCUCUUUUAUGCGGGGAUAAAGGUGUCCACGUGUGGAUGUUUGCAGGUACCGCAUGAAUAAGGACCGGCUAAUUCCGUGCCAGCAGCCGCGGUAAUACGGAAGGUCCGGGCGUUAUCCGGAUUUUUUGGGUUUAAAGGGAGCGUAGGCCGGUCUUUAAGCGUGCCGUGAAAUUUUGUGGCUUAACCAUGAGAGUGCGGCGCGAACUGGAGACCUUGAGUGCGCGGAAGGCAGGCGGAAUUCGUGGUGUAGCGGUGAAAUGCUUAGAUAUCACGAAGAACCCCGAUUGCGAAGGCAGCCUGCCGCAGCGUUACUGACGCUGAAGCUCGAAAGCGCGGGGAUCGAACAGGAUUAGAUACCCCUGUAGUC